CUCUUAUAGAAAAUUAUUAUAAGUAUAACCUGCUCAAUGAUUUUUUAAAUAGCCGCAGUUUUCUGUGCUAAGGUAGCAUAAUCAUUUGUUCUUUAAUUAAGGACUAGAAUGAAUGGUUAUACAUUAAAUUUCUGUCUCAAUUUAUAUCUAAAUGAAAUUAUUUUAAAUAUAAAAAAAUAUUUAUUAAAAAAAAAGACGACAAGACCCUAUCAAACUUUACUAAAGUUAAGCUGGGGAAGCUUAUUAAUAAUAAUUUAAUUUAUAAAUAUAAAACUAAUUUAACCCACUAUAUAGUGAUAAAUUGAUUAAGUUACUGUAGGGAUAACAGCGUAAUAAGUUUUAAAAGUUCAUAUUUAAAAAUAAGUUUACGACCUCGAUGUUGAAUUAAUAAUUCUUUAACAAUGCAACCAUUUUAAUAAGAAGGUCUGUUCGACCUUUAAAUUAUUACG
rnacentral:rRNA from 1 species